rnacentral:rRNA from 1 species
AUUCCGGUUGAUCCUGCCGGAGGACAUUGCUAUUGGGAUUCGAUUUAGCCAUGCUAGUCGAGCGAGUUCAGACUCGCGGCGAAUAGCUCAGUAACACGUGGCCAAGCUCCCCUUCAGUCAGCGAUACCCUCGGGAAACUGAGGUUAACAGCUGAUACAAAACGCCAGCUGGAAUGCGGCGUUUCAGAAAGACAUCGCUGAAGGAUGCGGCUGCGGCCGAUUAGGUAGACGGUGGGGUAACGGCCCACCGUACCAGUAAUCGGUACGGGUGAUGAGAGUCAGAGCCCGGAGACGGAAUCUGAGACAAGAUUCCGGGCCCUACGGGGCGCAGCAGGCGCGAAACCUUUACACUGCACGGAAGUGCGAUAGGGGGAUUCCGAGUGCGAGGGCAUAUUAGCCCUCGCUUUUCUCGACUGUAAGGUGGUCGACGAAUAAGAGCUGGGCAAGACCGGUGCCAGCCGCCGCGGUAAUACCGGCAGCUCAAGUGAUGUCCCAUAUUAUUGGGCCUAAAGCGUCCGUAGCU